rnacentral:rRNA from 1 species
GCCUAACACAUGCAAGUCGAACGGUAACAGGAAGCAGCUUGCUGCUUUGCUGACGAGUGGCGGACGGGUGAGUAAUGUCUGGGAAACUGCCUGAUGGAGGGGGAUAACUACUGGAAACGGUAGCUAAUACCGCAUAACGUCGCAAGACCAAAGAGGGGGACCUUCGGGCCUCUUGCCAUCGGAUGUGCCCAGAUGGGAUUAGCUAGUAGGUGGGGUAACGGCUCACCUAGGCGACGAUCCCUAGCUGGUCUGAGAGGAUGACCAGCCACACUGGAACUGAGACACGGUCCAGACUCCUACGGGAGGCAGCAGUGGGGAAUAUUGCACAAUGGGCGCAAGCCUGAUGCAGCCAUGCCGCGUGUAUGAAGAAGGCCUUCGGGUUGUAAAGUACUUUCAGCGGGGAGGAAGGGAGUAAAGUUAAUACCUUUGCUCAUUGACGUUACCCGCAGAAGAAGCACCGGCUAACUCCGUGCCAGCAGCCGCGGUAAUACGGAGGGUGCAAGCGUUAAUCGGAAUUACUGGGCGUAAAGCGCACGCAGGCGGUUUGUUAAGUCAGAUGUGAAAUCCCCGGGCUCAACCUGGGAACUGCAUCUGAUACUGGCAAGCUUGAGUCUCGUAGAGGGGGGUAGAAUUCCAGGUGUAGCGGUGAAAUGCGUAGAGAUCUGGAG